GUCGCAGCGCUGCCCUUGGCGCCCCGGCUCCCGCCGCCUCACCUCGCUCGAUGUUGGCGAUGGCCCGCCGCAGGUGCUCCUCUGUCACCAGCUCACCGAUGACCACCAGCAGAUACCCUCAAGACUUGCCACCUGGUGUCCACUGGAGAAAACCAGCAUCAGGCUUCUCCUGCUGCAAUACCUACCUCUGGGAUAUGCUUUUACUUCAAUCGCCAACAAGAGCAGCUAGUCUCUGGAGCAUGGAAGAGGUUUGCCAAGGGGACUUGCCAACUGGUUGCACUGAUAGAAUAGACUGAUAAUGGUUCCUGGACAUGAAGGUAAAAUGAUUACUGGCCUCAUAAGCAGAGCAGGUUAAAUAUGAUACUCUGAGAAAUGCACACCAGUACUCAAAAGGCAUUAUAUGUGCUUUUAAGCACUUUCUGAUUUUAAGGAAAAAUUAAGACAUCCAUAACUGGAAAGGUGCCUGUGAGUUUGAGAAGUAAGAGAUGGAAAGAAUGUAUUUUAUCAGAGAAGAAAAUGCUUACAUAGAGAUAGGAAAUACAGUUAUGUUUGAAAUAGCCUGCUCAGGUAGUCUUCUAUUUUAUACAGCACUGUAAAAUAGUAUGAAGCUAGAACAUGGUAUAUAAAAAAAGGUGAACUGUUACAGUCAAACUGUCUUGUGAUGGAAGAUAUGUCACACAUUAAAACCCUAAAGACAAGAGGUUGCCCUCAGAAGAAGAUGGUCUUGUACUAAACUCUUCGACAGAUGAAGACCUCUGCCCUUAGCUAUUCAAAAGCGUAUGCCACAUCAUCUGAGAUGGAAGAUAAGACAAGAAAAGGUGCAUUAACCUCUUGAACAUGUCUCUGAGGAAGCUCUGCAGGAUCCAAACAUCAUGACCAGGAUUCACUCUGUGAUUUGUCCUUUUGGUGUCUCAUUCUGACAUUCUGAUGACAAACAGAUUUGUUUGUCAUCACCUUACCUUAUCUGGAUACCCAUUUAUAUUCUGCAAUAUGGAGCAUAUCAUCAGGUCUACUGCUGAGUGAAAUGUGAAGAUGUGCUGCAUGAAGCUGACUUAGUGUCCAGUGACCCUCGCUGCUGGAAAGUGAUACCAGCUGACUAGCUGCAGCUCAAUCACAUAGAUAUGCCCCUUCAGUGGAAGAAAGAACAAAAUUGUUGGACUGUGGAAUAUGUCUUGCUGUUUCAAAGAGGCAGUUAUUGAGACCUGCACCUGUCUGGCUUUUUUAUGCUUUGGUUUGGUUUUACUGUUUUAAUGUGUUCAAAUUGGAGUCCCCAAGUUGAAUAUGGUCAAACAUUACAUGUAGAGCUGUAUUUUUUAGAUCUAGUAUUUUUUGAAGCAAAAAGGUACUUUUAAAUAAAGUGCUUGAAGUCUAAAACAUGA